rnacentral:tRNA from 1 species
GCGGGUGUGGCGAAAUUGGCAGACGCGCCAGAUUUAGGUUCUGGUGUCUUCGGACGUGGGGGUUCAAGUCCCUUCACCCGCA